rnacentral:lncRNA from 1 species
CUCAGCCUCCCAAAUUGCUGGGAUUAUAAGUGUGCACCACCACAUCUGGCUCUUUGAGAACUGUUAAGCCAUUAUUUCAUCCACCCUCUUCGUGGUCAACUUGUGCUAAGUCCUCCUUUUUCUGGAGGGCCUCCUUUUCUCUUCUCCUGGGUCUCAAGGUGCCGUUGUGCACUGGGAGAGUGGAGAGUUCCGGCCUUAUUCAUGUCUCAGGAAUGCUGUCAGAAUCCCAGGGCACCAUUGUUCUUCAUCGCAUAAAGAGAAAGAAAAUGAGUGAGUGUAAAAUUCAUCCUGAACGGGAGAGGAUGGGUGAGGAGAAGCCGCCCAGGAAGGAACCCGCCUGAAAACUGCUCUUCUCUGGUAGGAUCAGAUGACAUUAAGUUGUGGAUUUAAUAUCACAAAGGAGUUUGUCAGACUCU